UACAGAGGUCUCAAGCGUUGUUCGGAUUCAUUGGGCGUAAAGGGCGUGUAGGCGGUUAAGUAAGUGGGAUGUGAAAUCCCUCGGCUCACCCGAGGACCUGCAUCCCAAACUGCUUAGCUUGAGUAUGGGAGAGGAUGAGGGAAUUCCUGGUGUAGCGGUGAAAUGCGUAGAUAUCAGGAGGAACACCGGUGGCGAAGGCGCUCAUCUGGCCCAAUACUGACGCUGAGGCGCGAAAGCUAGGGGAGCAAACGGG
rnacentral:rRNA from 1 species